rnacentral:rRNA from 1 species
CCCUUAGAUGUCCGGAGCUGCACGCGCGCUACACUGAAGGAAUCAGCGUGCUAAAACCAUUGUCGAAAGGCAUUGGUAAACCCAUUAAAAUCCUACGUGAUUGGGAUCGGGAAUUGCAAUUAUUUCCCUUGAACGAGGAAUUCCCAGUAAGUGUGGGUCAUAAGCUCGCGUUGAUUACGUCCCUGCCCUUUGUACACACCGCCCGUCGCUGCCCGGGACUGAGCCGUUUCGAGAAAAGCGGGGACUGCUGCUGUCGGGGCUUUCGGGCCUUGGCUUCGGUGGAAACCGCUUUAAUCGCAGUGGCUUGAACCGGGCAAAAGUCGUAACA